rnacentral:rRNA from 1 species
GAGCUUGCUCCUUUGACGUUAGCGGCGCGCACGUGGUGAGUAACACGUGGAUAACCUACCUAUAAGACUGGGAUAACUUCGGGAAACCGGAGCUAAUACCGGAUAACAUAUUGAACCGCAUGGUUCAAUAGUGAAAGGCGGCUUUGCUGUCACUUAUAGAUGGAUCCGCGCCGUAUUAGCUAGUUGGUAAGGUAACGGCUUACCAAGGCAACGAUACGUAGCCGACCUGAGAGGGUGAUCGGCCACACUGGAACUGAGACACGGUCCAGACUCCUACGGGAGGCAGCAGUAGGGAAUCUUCCGCAAUGGGCGAAAGCCUGACGGAGCAACGCCGCGUGAGUGAUGAAGGUCUUCGGAUCGUAAAACUCUGUUAUCAGGGAAGAACAAAUGUGUAAGUAACUGUGCACAUCUUGACGGUACCUGAUCAGAAAGCCACGGCUAACUACGUGCCAGCAGCCGCGGUAAUACGUAGGUGGCAAGCGUUAUCCGGAAUUAUUGGGCGUAAAGCGCGCGUAGGCGGUUUUUUAAGUCUGAUGUGAAAGCCCACGGCUCAACCGUGGAGGGUCAUUGGAAACUGGAAAACUUGAGUGCAGAAGAGGAAAGUGGAAUUCCAUGUGUAGCGGUGAAAUGCGCAGAGAUAUGGAGGAACACCAGUGGCGAAGGCGACUUUCUGGUCUGUAACUGACGCUGAUGUGCGAAAGCGUGGGGAUCAAACAGGAUUAGAUACCCUGGUAGUCCACGCCGUAAACGAUGAGUGCUAAGUGUUAGGGGGUUUCCGCCCCUUAGUGCUGCAGCUAACGCAUUAAGCACUCCGCCUGGGGAGUACGACCGCAAGGUUGAAACUCA